GACGAACGCUGGCGGCGUGCCUAAUACAUGCAAGUAGAACGCUGAAGGAGGAGCUUGCUUCUCCGGAUGAGUUGCGAACGGGUGAGUAACGCGUAGGUAACCUGCCUGGUAGCGGGGGAUAACUAUUGGAAACGAUAGCUAAUACCGCAUAAGAGUAGAUGUUGCAUGACAUUUGCUUAAAAGGUGCAAUUGCAUCACUACCAGAUGGACCUGCGUUGUAUUAGCUAGUUGGUGGGGUAACGGCUCACCAAGGCGACGAUACAUAGCCGACCUGAGAGGGUGAUCGGCCACACUGGGACUGAGACACGGCCCAGACUCCUACGGGAGGCAGCAGUAGGGAAUCUUCGGCAAUGGACGGAAGUCUGACCGAGCAACGCCGCGUGAGUGAAGAAGGUUUUCGGAUCGUAAAGCUCUGUUGUAAAAGAAGAACGAGUGUGAGAGUGGAAAGUUCACACUGUGACGGUAUCUUACCAGAAAGGGACGGCUAACUACGUGCCAGCAGCCGCGGUAAUACGUAGGUCCCGAGCGUUGUCCGGAUUUAUUGGGCGUAAAGCGAGCGCAGGCGGUUAGAUAAGUCUGAAGUUAAAGGCUGUGGCUUAACCAUAGUACGCUUUGGAAACUGUUUAACUUGAGUGCAAGAGGGGAGAGUGGAAUUCCAUGUGUAGCGGUGAAAUGCGUAGAUAUAUGGAGGAACACCGGUGGCGAAAGCGGCUCUCUGGCUUGUAACUGACGCUGAGGCUCGAAAGCGUGGGGAGCAAACAGG
rnacentral:rRNA from 1 species